rnacentral:tRNA from 1 species
GUCCAGGGAUGGGAAUCGAAUCCACAAUGUUCCGCUUACCGGGCAGAUGCCAUGUCCACUAGGCUACCCUGGA